rnacentral:rRNA from 1 species
CUGUGGCCAAGUUUUUAAGGGCGCACGGUGGAUGCCUUGGCACCAGGAACCGAUGAAGGACGUGGGAGGCCACGAUAGUCCCCGGGGAGUCGUCAACCAGGCUUUGAUCCGGGGGUUUCCGAAUGGGGAAACCCGGCAGUCGUCAUGGGCUGUCACCCAUACCUGAACACAUAGGGUAUGUGGAGGGAACGCGGGGAAGUGAAACAUCUCAGUACCCGCAGGAAGAGAAAACAACCGUGAUUCCGGGAGUAGUGGCGAGCGAAACUGGAUGAGGCCAAACCAUAUGCGUGUGAGACCCGGCAGGGGUUGCGUAUGUGGGGUUGUGGGAUUUCUCUUUCACGGUCUGCCGGCCGUGAGACGAGUCAGAAACCGUUGAUGUAGGCGAAGGACAUGCGAAAGGUCCGGCGUAGAGGGUAAGACCCCCGUAGUCGAAACGUCAACGGCUCGUUUGAGAAACACCCAAGUAGCACGGGGCCCGAGAAAUCCCGUGUGAAUCUGGCGGGACCACCCGCUAAGCCUAAAUAUUCCCUGGUGACCGAUAGCGGAUAGUACCGUGAGGGAAUGGUGAAAAGUACCGCGGGAGCGGAGUGAAAUAGUACCUGAAACCGUGUGCCUACAAGCCGUGGGAGCGUCGCGCAUUGAGUUUACUCAGUGCGUCGUGACUGCGUGCCUUUUGAAGAAUGAGCCUGCGAGUUUGCGGUGUGUUGCGAGGUUAACCCGUGUGGGGAAGCCGUAGCGAAAGCGAGUCCGAAUAGGGCGGUUUAGUAGCGCGCUCAAGACCCGAAGCGGAGUGAUCUAGCCAUGGGCAGGUUGAAGCGGCUGUAAGAGGUCGUGGAGGACCGAACCCACCAGGGUUGAAAACCUGGGGGAUGACCUGUGGUUAGGGGUGAAAGGCCAAUCAAACUCCGUGAUAGCUGGUUCUCCCCGAAAUGCAUUUAGGUGCAGCGUCGUGUGUUUCUUGCCGGAGGUAGAGCACUGGAUAGGCGAUGGGCCCUACCGGGUUACUGACCUUAGCCAAACUCCGAAUGCCGGUAAGUGAGAGCGCGGCAGUGAGACUGUGGGGGAUAAGCUCCAUGGUCGAGAGGGAAACAGCCCAGAGCAUCGACUAAGGCCCCUAAGCGUACGCUAAGUGGGAAAGGAUGUGGAGUCGCAGAGACAACCAGGAGGUUGGCUUAGAAGCAGCCACCCUUGAAAGAGUGCGUAAUAGCUCACUGGUCUAGUGAUUCCGCGCCGACAAUGUAGCGGGGCUCAAGCGUACCGCCGAAGUCGUGUCAUUGCAGCAAUACGCCCAACGGCGGCUGUGAUGGGUAGGGGAGCGUCGUGUGCCGGGUGAAGCCGCGCCGGAAGGCAGUGGUGGACGGUUCACGAGUGAGAAUGCAGGCAUGAGUAGCGAUACACACGUGAGAAACGUGUGCGCCGAUUGACUAAGGGUUCCUGGGUCAAGCUGAUCUGCCCAGGGUAAGUCGGGACCUAAGGCGAGGCCGACAGGCGUAGUCGAUGGAUAACCGGUUGAUAUUCCGGUACCCGCUGUGAAGCGUCAAACAUUGAACCAGGCGAUGCUAAGUCCGUGAAGCCGCCCCGGAGCCUUCGGGCAAAGGGGAGUGGUGGAGCCGACGGACCAGACCUGCAGUAGGUGAGUGAUGGGGUGACGCAGGAAGGUAGUCCAUCCCGGGCGGUGGUUGUCCCGGGGUAAGGGUGUAGGCCGUGUGAUAGGUAAAUCCGUCACACAUCAAGGCUGAGACCUGAUGCCGAGCCGAUUGUGGUGAAGUGGAUGAUCCUAUGCUGUCGAGAAAAGCCUCUAGCGAGUUUCAUGGCGGCCCGUACCCUAAACCGACUCAGGUGGUCAGGUAGAGAAUACCGAGGCGUUCGGGUGAACUAUGGUUAAGGAACUCGGCAAAAUGCCCCCGUAACUUCGGGAGAAGGGGGGCCAUCACCGGUGAUGAGUCUUGCACUCUGAGCUGGGGGUGGCCGCAGAGACCAGCGAGAAGCGACUGUUUACUAAAAACACAGGUCCGUGCGAAGCCGUAAGGCGAUGUAUACGGACUGACGCCUGCCCGGUGCUGGAACGUUAAGGGGACCGGUUAGUCACUCUUCGGGGUGGCGAAGCUGAGAACUUAAGCGCCAGUAAACGGCGGUGGUAACUAUAACCAUCCUAAGGUAGCGAAAUUCCUUGUCGGGUAAGUUCCGACCUGCACGAAUGGCGUAACGACUUCUCGACUGUCUCAACCAUAGGCCCGGUGAAAUUGCACUACGAGUAAAGAUGCUCGUUUCGCGCAGCAGGACGGAAAGACCCCGGGACCUUUACUACAGUUUGAUAUUGGUGUUCGGUUCGGCUUGUGUAGGAUAGGUGGGAGACUGUGAAGUGCGGGCGCCAGCCCGUGUGGAGUCGUCGUUGAAAUACCACUCUGGUCGUGCUGGAUGUCUAACCUGGGUCCGUGAUCCGGAUCAGGGACAGUGUCUGAUGGGUAGUUUAACUGGGGCGGUUGCCUCCUAAAGAGUAACGGAGGCGCCCAAAGGUUCCCUCAGCCUGGUUGGUAAUCAGGUGUUGAGUGUAAGUGCACAAGGGAGCUUGACUGUGAGACCGACGGGUCGAGCAGGGACGAAAGUCGGGACUAGUGAUCCGGCGGUGGCUUGUGGAAGCGCCGUCGCUCAACGGAUAAAAGGUACCCCGGGGAUAACAGGCUGAUCUUCCCCAAGAGUCCAUAUCGACGGGAUGGUUUGGCACCUCGAUGUCGGCUCGUCGCAUCCUGGGGCUGGAGUCGGUCCCAAGGGUUGGGCUGUUCGCCCAUUAAAGCGGUACGCGAGCUGGGUUUAGAACGUCGUGAGACAGUUCGGUCCCUAUCCGCUGUGCGCGUAGGAAUAUUGAGAAGGGCUGUCCCUAGUACGAGAGGACCGGGACGGACGAACCUCUGGUGUGCCAGUUGUCCUGCCAAGGGCAUGGCUGGUUGGCUACGUUCGGGAGGGAUAACCGCUGAAAGCAUCUAAGCGGGAAGCCUGCUUCGAGAUGAGUAUUCCCACCCCCUUGAGGGGUUAAGGCUCCCAGUAGACGACUGGGUUGAUAGGCCGGAUCUGGAAGGCGGGUAACCGCUGGAGGUGACCGGUACUAAUAGGCCGAGGGCUUGUCCUC